rnacentral:rRNA from 1 species
GAUGAACGCUGGCGGCGUGCCUAAAACAUGCAAGUCGAAUGCGCUUCGGGCGCAUGGCGAACUGGUGAGUAACACAUUGGAAUCUGCCCUUAUCUCAGGGAUAACCCAUCGAAAGGUGGGAUAAUACCUGAUAGUCCGUGCUUGCACGGUAAAACUCCGGUGGAUAAGGAGGCUCCUAUGUCCUAUCAGCUUGUUGGUGGGGUAAUGGCCUACCAAGGCUACGACGGGUAGCUGGUCUGAGAGGAUGAUCAGCCACAUUGGGACGGAGAUACGGCCCGGACUCCUACGGGAGGCAGCAGUUAGGAAUAUUGCACAAUGGACGAAAGUCUGAUGCAGCAACGCCGCGUGAAGGAUGACGGCCUUCGGGUUGUAAACUUCUUUUAUCAGGGAAGAUUAUGACGGUACCUGAUGAAUAAGCUCCGGCUAACUACGUGCCAGCCGCCGCCGUAA